CCAUAUACAUGCCCCAUCUUUGUUCUCUUUGUUUCCAGGUAUCUCCGAUUCUCUGAGGUGAUUGGAGUUACCAAGGGAACCCUGCCCACAAUGCUCAAUCCAUAACCCUUGAGACCACCAUACUUUGCUGGGUUAUUAGUCAUCAACUUCAUUGAACGGACCCCCAGAUCACGUAAUAACCUGUGCACCAAUGCCAUAUUCCCGUGAAUCCACAGGCAGUCCUAGGUCUUCAUUAGCCUCCACAGUGUCGCGCCCGUCAUCUUGCAGGUUAUAAGCACGGAGCUUGUGACCGAGACCAAUACCCCUCCCUUCAUGUCCACGAAGAUAAACUAGUACACCCCUUCCAGCCUUCUCAAUCAUCUCCAUUGCCAUGGCAAGCUGAUCACCACAAUCACAUCUUGCUGAUCCAAAAAUGUCCCCUGUGAGGCAUUCGGAGUGCACCCUCACUAAAACGCCUUGACCAUCUCCAAUCUCCCCCUCAACUUACUUUCACCAUUGCAAUAUGCUCUAUCCCAUCAAUAACAGAUCUGUAGCAGUAAGCGCGGACAUUACCCCAUCUCAAAGGUAAGCGUGCAACAGAUGAACGUUCAACUAGCCUGUCUCUUUUUCUCCUAUA
rnacentral:sRNA from 1 species